rnacentral:rRNA from 1 species
UACGUAGGGGGCAAGCGUUGUCCGGAUUUAUUGGGCGUAAAGAGCGUGUAGGCGGCCAGGUAGGUCUGCUGUGAAAACUCGAGGCUUAACCUCGAGCUGUCGGCGGAAACCAUCUGGCUAGAGUCCGGAAGAGGAGAAUGGAAUUCCCGGUGUAGCGGUGAAAUGCGCAGAUAUCGGGAAGAACACCCGUGGCGAAAGGCGGUUCUCUGGGACGGUACUGACGCUGAGACGCGAAAAGC